rnacentral:misc_RNA from 1 species
AAUUAAAAAUAGCAAAAAGUUAAAAAACAAAGAGAUCGUAAAAUUUGGACUAGCAUCAAAGUAGCUGUUCAAUCAAAUAAAAUGAAAACCUAACUGAAAUUCUCUGGUCAUCAUAUUUUAUUUCAGAAAUAAAUUCCAUAAAAUUGAAUGAUGUCCUCCCCCAUAGGUAAAACACUAAAUAAACCUUAAGUUGGAAGUCAAGUGUAUAGAGCUAUAAAUGGUCUAUCUUAAUCUUAGACAUGAAUAAAGACCACAGAUUUAAAUUGCGGUCGU